rnacentral:rRNA from 1 species
GACGAACGCUGGCGGCGUGCUUAACACAUGCAAGUCGUACGGUAAGGCCCUUUCGGGGGUCCACGAGUGGCGCACGGGUGCGUAACACGUGAGUAACCUGCCCACAACUUUGGGAUAACGCUAGGAAACUGGUGCUAAUACUGGAUAUGUGCUCCUGCUGCAUGGUGGGGGUUGGAAAGCUCCGGCGGUUGUGGAUGGACUCGCGGCCUAUCAGCUUGUUGGUGGGGUAGUGGCCUACCAAGGCGGCGACGGGUAGCCGGCCUGAGAGGGUGACCGGCCACAUUGGGACUGAGAUACGGCCCAGACUCCUACGGGAGGCAGCAGUGGGGAAGAUUGCACAAUGGGCGCAAGCCGGAUGCAGCAACGCCGCGUGCGGGAUGACGGCCUUCGGGUUGUAAACCGCUUUCAGCAGGGACGAAGCUUUUUGUGACGGUACCUGCAGAAGAAGCACCGGCUAACUACGUG